rnacentral:rRNA from 1 species
CACAGUAAGAGCUUGCUCUUACGGGUGGCGAGUGGCGGACGGGUGAGGAAUACAUCGGAAUCUACUUUUUCGUGGGGGAUAACGUAGGGAAACUUACGCUAAUACCGCAUACGACCUACGGGUGAAAGCAGGGGAUCUUCGGACCUUGCGCGAUUGAAUGAGCCGAUGUCGGAUUAGCUAGUUGGCGGGGUAAAGGCCCACCAAGGCGACGAUCCGUAGCUGGUCUGAGAGGAUGAUCAGCCACACUGGAACUGAGACACGGUCCAGACUCC